rnacentral:rRNA from 1 species
AGUUUGAUCCUGGCUCAGAUUGAACGCUGGCGGCAGGCCUAACACAUGCAAGUCGAGCGGUAGAGAGAAGCUUGCUUCUCUUGAGAGCGGCGGACGGGUGAGUAAUGCCUAGGAAUCUGCCUGGUAGUGGGGGAUAACGUUCGGAAACGGACGCUAAUACCGCAUACGUCCUACGGGAGAAAGCAGGGGACCUUCGGGCCUUGCGCUAUCAGAUGAGCCUAGGUCGGAUUAGCUAGUUGGUGAGGUAAUGGCUCACCAAGGCGACGAUCCGUAACUGGUCUGAGAGGAUGAUCAGUCACACUGGAACUGAGACACGGUCCAGACUCCUACGGGAGGCAGCAGUGGGGAAUAUUGGACAAUGGGCGAAAGCCUGAUCCAGCCAUGCCGCGUGUGUGAAGAAGGUCUUCGGAUUGUAAAGCACUUUAAGUUGGGAGGAAGGGCAGUUACCUAAUACGUGAUUGUUUUGACGUUACCGACAGAAUAAGCACCGGCUAACUCUGUGCCAGCAGCCGCGGUAAUACAGAGGGUGCAAGCGUUAAUCGGAAUUACUGGGCGUAAAGCGCGCGUAGGUGGUUUGUUAAGUUGGAUGUGAAAUCCCCGGGCUCAACCUGGGAACUGCAUUCAAAACUGACUGACUAGAGUAUGGUAGAGGGUGGUGGAAUUUCCUGUGUAGCGGUGAAAUGCGUAGAUAUAGGAAGGAACACCAGUGGCGAAGGCGACCACCUGGACUGAUACUGACACUGAGGUGCGAAAGCGUGGGGAGCAAACAGGAUUAGAUACCCUGGUAGUCC